UGCAAGUCGAGCGGACAGAAGGGAGCUUGCUCCCGGAUGUUAGCGGCGGACGGGUGAGUAACACGUGGGUAACCUGCCUGUAAGACUGGGAUAACUCCGGGAAACCGGAGCUAAUACCGGAUAGUUCCUUGAACCGCAUGGUUCAAGGAUGAAAGACGGUUUCGGCUGUCACUUACAGAUGGACCCGCGGCGCAUUAGCUAGUUGGUGAGGUAACGGCUCACCAAGGCGACGAUGCGUAGCCGACCUGAGAGGGUGAUCGGCCACACUGGGACUGAGACACGGCCCAGACUCCUACGGGAGGCAGCAGUAGGGAAUCUUCCGCAAUGGACGAAAGUCUGACGGAGCAACGCCGCGUGAGUGAUGAAGGUUUUCGGAUCGUAAAGCUCUGUUGUUAGGGAAGAACAAGUGCAAGAGUAACUGCUUGCACCUUGACGGUACCUAACCAGAAAGCCACGGCUAACUACGUGCCAGCAGCCGCGGUAAUACGUAGGUGGCAAGCGUUGUCCGGAAUUAUUGGGCGUAAAGGGCUCGCAGGCGGUUUCUUAAGUCUGAUGUGAAAGCCCCCGGCUCAACCGGGGAGGGUCAUUGGAAACUGGGAAACUUGAGUGCAGAAGAGGAGAGUGGAAUUCCACGUGUAGCGGUGAAAUGCGUAGAGAUGUGGAGGAACACCAGUGGCGAAGGCGACUCUCUGGUCUGUAACUGACGCUGAGGAGCGAAAGCGUGGGGAGCGAACAGGAUUAGAUACCCUGGUAGUCCACGCCGUAAACGAUGAGUGCUAAGUGUUAGGGGUUUCCGCCC
rnacentral:rRNA from 1 species